GACGAACGCUGGCGGCAGGCCUAACACAUGCAAGUCGAGCGGAGCGGCGGACGGGUGAGUAAUGCCUAGGAAACUGCCUGGUAGUGGGGGAUAACGUCCGGAAAAGGGCGCUAAUACCGCAUACUCACAGAUGAGCCUAGGUCGGUUUAGCUAGUUGGUGGGGUAAAGGCCUACCAGGGCGACGAUCCGUAACUGGCCUGAGAGGAGGAACAGUCACACUGGAACGGAGACACGGUCCAGACUCCUACGGGGGGCAACGGUGGGGAAUAUUGGACAAUGGGCGAAAGCCUGAUCCAGCCAUGCCGCGUGUGUGAAGAAGGUCUUCGGAUUGUAAAGCACUUUAAGUUGGGAGGCGUUACCAACAGAGUAAGCACCGGCUAACUUCGUGCCAGCAGCCGCGGUAAUUC
rnacentral:rRNA from 1 species